GUUGUAUAAAAAAAUAAACGUGACUGGCAUGAAAAGCUUCUCGAAGCCUUGUGGGCUUAUAGAACCACAACACGCACGCCGACAGGAAUGACACCUUAUUCCUUAGUAUUUGGAGGAGAAGUUGUUCUACCUUUGGAGGUACAGAUCACGUCGUUGAGGGUCGCUACACAUGAAAAUUUGUCGGAAGAAAAAUCAGUACAAUUACGUCUCGAUGAAUUAGAAAGACUAGAAGGUAGACGACUUCAAGCUUUGCAAAAUCUUGAGGCAUAUCAAGCUAGGAUAUCCCGAGCAUUCGACAAACGAGUCAAAAGAAGGUCGUUCAAACAAGGAGAUCUAGUACUUGCGGUCAUCCGUCCUAUGAAUAUCGCGCGACAGAUGAAAGGAAAAUUUGAACCAAAAUGGGAAGGUCCCUUCGUUAUAAAAGAGGUUUAUUCUAGCGGCGCAUAUAGAAUCAUAUCACCGGAUGGGGAAUACUCGCCGGCACCGGUAAAUGGGAAAUUCCUUAAGCGUUACUAUGCACCCUCACGAGUCUAA
rnacentral:rRNA from 1 species